AAACAGCUUGGAAAUGACUUUUUCAGUCAUUUUCAUUCAUGAAAACCCUCACCAAAUGUAUUUAUCAUGCCUGAAAAGAAGCUCUGAAGAAAGCUCCAGAGGUUUCCCCAGAAUAUUAUGGGCAAUGCUUUGAAGAAGGAAGAUAAUUCACCUCUGCAUACAGAAAGUAGACCGUAUUUUGUAGUCAUCAGAGAUGUUGACUUCUCCAACAUCUGGUUCAGCUCAGCUCAUGACGCCUUGACCACCUAGAAUCAGCGCCCCCUACACCCUGUUAUUGCCCAAAAGGCAUACCUGCUGCAGUGAGAGGCACCUUGUGCUUUCUUGGUGGUUUCUCCUCUGGCUUGGGAUCUUUGGUUUUAAUGCUUGAAUGGAAAGGCAAUUCAGAAGCCUUGAGUUCAGAGGCUGGCAACUGAUUAUGACUUUGAUUAUCCUGUCCAGACAAAGAGACUUGAAAUAAAGGACUGCUUAGACUUC